rnacentral:rRNA from 1 species
UCAGGCGUGAGUACCCGCUGAACUUAAGCAUAU